UACGGGGGGGGCAAGCGUUGUUCGGAAUUACUGGGCGUAAAGGGCUCGUAGGCGGCCAACUAAGUCAGACGUGAAAUCCCUCAGCUUAACUGGGGAACUGCGUCUGAUACUGGAUGGCUUGGAUUCGGGAGAGGAAUGCGGAAUUCCAGGUGUAGCGGUGAAAUGCGUAGAUAUCUGGAGGAACACCGGUGGCGAAGGCGGCAUUCUGGACCAACACUGACGCUCAUGCACGAAAGCGUGGGGAGCAAACAGG
rnacentral:rRNA from 1 species